GAUGAAGAACGUAGCGAAAUGCGAUACUUGGUGCGAAUUGCAGAAUCCCGUGAACCAUCGAGUCUUUGAACGCAAGUUGCGCCCGAAGCCAUUAGGCCGAGGGCACGCCUGCCUGGGCGUCACACGUCGUUGCCCCCCCAUCUACUCCUUCGGGAUUGCGGGGGGCGGAUGAUGGCCUCCCGUGCGCCUCGUCGCGCGGUUGGCAUAAAUGCCAAGUCCUCGGCGACGCACGCCACGACAAUCGGUGGUUGCGAAACCUCGGUUGCCCGUCGUGUGCGGUCGUCGCGCAUCGAGGGCUCGAAAAAAUUGCCGGGCUCCGGCUCGGCUUUCAACGCGACCCCAGGUCAGGCGGGGUUACCCGCUGAAUUUAAGCAUAUCAAUAAGCGGAGGA
rnacentral:misc_RNA from 1 species